AUGACUUAAAAAAAAAAAAAAAAAAAAUCCUGCCGGAGCGAGCGUUGUGGAGAUCAUGGAGCACAGAUCCGGCGGCGAUGGCACAGAUUCUCAGGCAUACAGGCUACUUCUUUCAUGUCCAUCUGGUCUUUCCCCGUCCCAGUUGUCGGUGCGAUUUGAUCCGAUCUAUGAUAGGAUUCCCCAUCCGGAUUAUAGCUUGGAGAGCUCCAUUUCUGAGAUAUGGGAUAGGAGAGUUCUUCAAAAUCCGUCUUUGUACAAUGGAUUGAAGUUCAGGUAUGGUGGACACACUUUCGGUGACGGGGCCAAUCCUGGUCAGAAGAAUGAUACUUGUCUUCACCUUGGCUUGACAGAUUAUAGGACAUUUGUGGGGACAAAUUUGAAUCCUCUUUGGGAAAGAUUCCUUGCUCCGACUGAAGAUGAUGCAACAAAAUGCCAACAUACAUCUAAUCCUCUUGGUAAUGGUGCUAUUGUGGAAACAUCCGACAAAGAGAUUGUUGUGCUACAAAGAAGUACCAAUGUUGGUGAAUUUCCUGGACACUUUGUUUUCCCAGGUGGCCAUCCUGAGCCAGAAGAAGUUGGCAUAACAAGUCAUGACAAUGCUAAAGAAUUAACCCAUCAGUUAGUCAACAGAAAGGUUUCUCAAGAAAUGUUCGAUAGUAUUAUUCGUGAAGUAGUUGAAGAAGUUGGAGUUCCUGCCAAUACCCUGGAUACACCAGUGUUUAUUGGGAUAUCCCAGCGGGUGCUGAACGUUAGACCGACAGCUUUCUUUUACAUUAAAUGCAGUCUUCAAUCAAAGAAGAUUCAACAACACUAUCGUGGUGCUCAAGAUGGCUUCGAAUCCACUCAGAUCUAUACUAUGCCAAUGAUCGAGGUGGCUGCAGCUGCGCGUAAAAUGCCUGGAUGUCAUGAAGGUGGCUUUGCAUUGUAUAAGUUGAUGCUUGAUGCUGUCGGAGAAAAGUGAAAGAUUAUAUCCACUGCUGAAUCAAGAUCGAUCGUUCCUUUCUGUUUUUUUUCCAGGCAUCGAAAAUUUGAUCCUGUGACCUCAUGAUUACAAAUUGUGGAUCAUGUGGAAUUAGUCCUCCGAUACCAAAGCUGCUUGCUUGGUGCCAUCGUGGCCUACCGGAGAUGAUGUGUUGCACAUGUGGCCAUGCUAUUAGUGCCACGUGUAAUACUUUAAAUUUAUUCAUUUCUUAUUAUCUUUUUAAUGAGGCGAAACAUAUUGUAUUUGUUUAUUAUAGCCCCAACAAUUGACCUUGAACAAAGCAUUUGAUUUACCAAUAAGUAUAGUUGCAAUUGUAUAAUAACUUCUCUUGCUAGGGGCAUUGACUCGACAAUGUUCGAUAUAUUAUCCUCGUAAUCUAACUUUGUAGAAGCAUACGCAAUCUUUUUAACGACAGAUUCCUAUGU